CUGGGCCCGGGACGAGCCAAGAAUGACCCUGUUCCAGCAAAAACACCAGGCCAACACUGAUGGAACAUAUCCAGGAGUAUACCAGCCCUAGAAGAUUCAUUGAAUUGCGGGCUGUAUUUUGUCCCAAACCCACCUGGACAAGGCUUAAUUAUGUCAGAUGGCAGUAUGGUUUGCAACAAGACCAAAAUCUGUACUCCCCAACAAUUAGGGGAGGGAACAACGUUACAAAGAAUGUUUACUUACCAGGACUUGCAACCAGGGUCUAUCAGCAAGUCAGCAAAUUAGAUUAUGUGUGCCGUGGCCCUCAAUGGAAGUUGUUUGUUAAUAAGCCAUCAGAUAGCUUUUAGGGUUUCAAAAAGGUUUCUUAGCAACUGUUAGCCCUGAGGAAGAAAAAAAAAGAGAGAGAGAGAGAGAUGACACAGAAGCUUUUGGUUUGAAACCUAAGGAGCUACAUGGGUGAAAAUCGAAACUGGACCCCCCCCCAGACCAAGGUCAAGGAGAGACCAAAGAGGCAGACCUCUCCAGAAAGGUAAGUAGGAGGGGUAAUAAGCAAGGGAACUUAACAAGGCUUGUCCUGAGCCCGCCACUGACAAGGGGAUCUCUGCACCUGCCCGCCAGAAUCUUAAAAAGUUUCUAUUAUAUAGAGGUUUCGAUGGGGGUCAGUAGUAUAUGGUCCAGAUGGUCCUAACAGCACUUUGCUCUCUCAAGGCCACAUCCUUGAAAU
rnacentral:lncRNA from 1 species